GAUUGAAGCAAUUUUGCAUCCAGUUUACACCUGGAAGACUUAUUUAUAAAUAACAAUCUUAAA
rnacentral:tRNA from 1 species